GAUGGUUAGUAAAAAGUGACCAAGCUGCCUGGGCUGAAGGAAACCAACCAAACAAAAACAAUGAGCCCAUUAGAUGGUAUUUGAAAGGUAUUUAGACCCUGAGAACUCUGAAUAUAGUAGAAAGGCAGACUACACUGAGAAAGGGCUCUCAACUAGGUUCCUGGGUUUGUUUAGUCUGCGUAUCUCAAGUCCAAACUAAUCAUCUCAAUGGUUUGUUUAUGACCAGAACAGGGUUCAAAUGGCCUCUCAAAGAAAGCAAGGCAGGCCUGACCCAGUCAACUCUAUGUUGCAACUUGCCCUUUCUCCCACUGCCCCCACGUUUCCACAGGACCCCAAGCUUCUCUUUAUUUAAGUGAAACAGCAGCCCGUAGUUUCAUCUAUUUCCUAUCUUUCUCUUCAAACCAGGCUGUAAGCUCCAAAAUGGGCAGGGACCAUAUCUCUGUGGCUCACUGCUGUAUCCGGCUAAUUUUUGCAAUAAAACUUAAAAACAAUAAAAUCAUUGGGUUAAUGGACUUCCUGGAGGGUAAGCUGGCAACUUAGACUGAGUUUAAGGUGCCGCUUUUCCCGGCACCAGAAACAACACUGAGAACUAACAGGUCCCUCCCUCCUGCAAGGGAGCUUUUAGGAAAUCUUCAAACGAAAUCACCCUUCAGUUUAUCAGAAUGAAAGACAUCCAUUCCCAAAAUUCUAAUCCACCUGCAGGAAGUGGGAAGGGGUUGGGGUUGGGGCUGGGGGGAGGCAGUCAACAAAGCACUCCUCCAGGCCACCUACUCCCACUCCUCAAAGCAGAAUCAGAUGGGAAACCGGGUGAGGCAAGUUAACCUAGAAGCCCUCCUCCAAUUAAUGUGUUAUUGCUCCUUUAAAACCAAGAACAAACGGCCCAGUGCUCGUGAUCCCGGAGGCUGCAGAGCAGUAAUUGUCACUUAGCCACUUAACUCCCCGCCGCACUGCUCACUCGCUCGUUGGGGGUUAUCUCUCAGCCAAUUACGGCUGUCAUUUGCGUUUCAAUACGUGCCGUCAGGGGCCGGCCCAGUCGACGGCGGAACAGGAAACCCCGGGACCCGAGGCGACUGGCUCCCGGUGGCUGCGGAAGCCCACGCCUCACCGCUGGCUCCUCUGGGGAAGCUGCAGAAGUGCUCUGGGGAGCGCGCUCUCAGCACGGCUGCAGAGGGGCCCCAGGGACCCCACCACAGUCCAGGUUUGUUCUGAGCCUGGGUCUACACUGAGGCACCCGAAAAGAGGAAUGUCUGACUCUUGAAAGCCCGAAGUCAAUAAUAGUCACGGCAAUGUGAACGCAAUAGAAAGUUUAGCUGCUGAGCCUGACAGCAGACAAGAGACAAGUAGGGGAAGUAGCAGGGGUUACUGCAAUAUAUUAUUGUGAAAUCAAGGCAGGCACUGUCUCCAAAUGCAAACACAGCAGAUCCUUAAAUCACUGCUCUUUUAUGCACUUAGAGUUCCACACAGGGGGUUUACCCAUCUACAACUCGGCCCUAAAGUGUAGGGGACACGUGGAUUUUCUUAGGCAAUCCUGAGUUGAAAUAUCUAAAAAUUAUAUUUAUAUCCUAUCGUCAAAUGAUAUAGGUUUGUAAUAAAUGUGUAGUCACAAAUUUUAUUUUUAAAAAUUUAAAAAAUUUAUUAUUUUUUUAAAGUUUCCUUAAAGGCAUAAUUCUGAUGGGAAUUUUUAAAUAAUUAAAUCAGAAACAAAACAAAACCUCUGCCAGGUCAUGUGUCCCAAUUUUUGCUUUUUGAAAAGAUGUUGUUUCUGGUUGCUCAGUGAGUCCUAAACACAAAAGGCCUCAUCUUUUCAAAUAUUUUAUUUACCUGGACUUCCUGGAUCAAAUCUAUACCACUGAUCACUGCAUUAAGGCGUUUAUCCCGGAGGUUUAAACCUCUCCUGUUUGCAGAGGAAGCAUCUGAGCCAGAAUGUAUUAAGCUAGCCUGAGACGUCCUUUGGAAUACACUUGGUCUACUUUAGGGAUAUACACAUUUUAAACCCUGAUUAUGGGAAGAAAGGGGGAAAGGGUGAGAGGCUGAGGAACAGACCGAGCCUUUUACAACCAAGCUCCUCAAUGCACCAGAGUUGACUGUCAGGGGGAAGGCAGAGUGCACCAACACGCAGGGCAGAAUAUCAGCUAGCUGGGUGGUAAGCGAUCUCUGGGUUGUCAGCAUCUUCGUUUUCCCAGCUGAAUAGCAGUGAGAUUGUCCUGCUCACCCUGCAGUUAGCAGCAAGCUCCCCCUGACAUUCCAUCCUCUGAAGCCCCAGCAACCACCGGGGAGGAGGGCUGGCAGCUAAGGCCAUGCCAGAAGAGACCUGUUCUAGCUGGAUCCACACACUCCAGUCUCUGGGUCUAAAAUAAGACUCUUAACUUCUCUGCCAAUGAGCUUCACCAGGCCCGAUGACGUUAACGUGUGCUGUCAGCUCUAUUUGCAGUCAAGGUCCCUGUUCACCAGGAUUUCAUCCAGUCAUCACCCUGACCCGUCUCUGAUGCAAGAGGGCACUUCAAAAGAUGCAGAGUUCCUAAGAUAGCCAGUGGCCAGAGUGUGAACUUCCUAAUUAAGGACCUACACAAAACCAAAAGUCACUUUCUGGAGAAACAAGUUCCUCUUCUCUGGGAACUGUGAGCGGCAGCCCAGUGGAGGUUUGGAAGCCUGCCACAGAUGGCCAAGAACAAAACCCAGGCCAAUCAGCAGGGCGGAUCUGAGCCCACAUCCAGAGAGGAGCUGCCUCACCACAGCCCUGCUGCUGCCACCAACUGUCUGAGGAGCUACCUCCAGGGGCCGGGCGGGGAGCCCCACCUUCCUCAAACAAUGUCACAAAGUCCCUGGUAGUUGCUGUGCAACCUACCUUUCUUCACUCUCCGUGGUCAGAUUCUGUUCUGACUCAGUGAAGAACAUUUGUUUCCACCUUGUCUGUCCCCAGCCACGUCAGUCACUCUCCCCAACUUCCACAGAGAGAAUCAGUGGAACCACCAGCCCCAGAUCCUCCAAGAUCAUACUCAGAACUCAGCCUGGAGCCCCAGUUCUUCCCUGGGCAUCUCUGCAGACAGGCCAAACCCACGUAUCGAAAGCUGAAUCCAUUAGCUGCCUCUCCAAUGUGACCCUUCCGUGUAUGACACCAGCUGCACUUGGGGCUGGGAGGUCAUGCUUGACUGCCUCCUCUCAUCUCCUACACCCAACUGCAAGCUUUCUGAGUUUUACUUAAUAAACAUUUCUCAAAUCCA